CCCUUAGAUGUCCGGGGCCGCACGCGCGCUACACUGAAGGAAUCAGCGUGGCUUUCUCCCUGACCCGAAAGGGUUGGGAAACCCGUUGAAUCUCCUUCGUGAUAGGGAUUGGGGCUUGAAAUUGUUCCCCAUGAACGAGGAAUUCCCAGUAAGCGCGAGUCAUAAGCUCGCGUUGAUUACGUCCCUGCCCUUUGUACACACCGCCCGUCGCACCUACCGAUUGAAUGGUCCGGUGAAGCCUCGGGAUUGUAGCAAUCUACCUUUAUUGGUGGUUUGUUGCAAGAACUUGUCUAAACCUUAUCAUUUAGAGGAAGGUGAAGUCGUAACA
rnacentral:rRNA from 1 species